rnacentral:rRNA from 1 species
GACGAACGCUGGCGGCGUGCUUAACACAUGCAAGUCGAACGGAAAGGCCCUGCUUUUGUGGGUUUCUCGAGUGGCGAAGGGGUGAGUAAAACGUGAGUAACCUGCCCUUGACUUUGUGAUAACUUCAGGAAACUGGGGCUAAUACAGGGUAUGAGCUCUUGCUGCAUGUUGGGGGUUAGAAAGUUUCGGCGGUUGUGGAUGGACUCGCUGCUUAUCAGCUGGUUGGUGGGGUAGUGGUGGACCAGGGUUAUGAGGGGUAGCCGACCUGGGAGGGGAACCAGCGACAAGAGGACUAAGAGACGGCGCAGACGCCUACGGGAGGCAGCAGGGGAAAAUAUGACACAAUGGGCGGAAGCGUGAUGCAGAAACGCCGCGAGCGGGAUAACCGCCUACGGGUGGAAAACCGCUUUGGACGGUGACGAAGAGGGAUUGACGGUAAUGGGUAAAAAAGCACCGGCUAACUACGUG